rnacentral:rRNA from 1 species
UGCCAGCAGCCCGGUAAUACGGAGGGAGCAAACGUUGUUCGGAUUUACUGGGUGUAAAGGGUGCGUAGGCGGCUUGAUAUGUCAGAGGUGAAAUCCUGCGGCUCAACCGUAGAAUUGCCUUUGAAACUGUCAGGCUUGAGUCCGUGAGAGGUUGGUGGAAUUCCUGGUGUAACGGUGAAAUGUGCAGAUAUCAGGAAGAACACCCGUGGCGAAGGCGGCCAACUGGCACGGUACUGACGCUGAGGCACGAAAGCGUGGGUAGCAAACAGGAUUAGAUA